GACGAACGCUGGCGGCGUGCUUAACACAUGCAAGUCGAACGGAAAGGCCCUGCUUUUGUGGGGUGCUCGAGUGGCGAACGGGUGAGUAACACGUGAGUAACCUGCCCUUGACUUUGGGAUAACUUCAGGAAACUGGGGCUAAUACCGGAUAGGAGCUCCUGCUGCAUGGUGGGGGUUGGAAAGUUUCGGCGGUUGGGGAUGGACUCGCGGCUUAUCAGCUUGUUGGUGGGGUAGUGGCUUACCAAGGCUUUGACGGGUAGCCGGCCUGAGAGGGUGACCGGCGACAAUGGGACUGCGAUACGGACCAGACUCCUACGUGCGGCAGCAGUGGGGAAUAUUGCAGAAUGGGCGGAAGUCUGAUGCAGCAACGCCGCGUGCGUGAUGACGGCCUUCGGGUUGUAAACCGAUUUCGCCUGUGACGAAGCGUGAGUGACGGUAAUGGGUAAAGAAGCCCCGGCUAACUACGUG
rnacentral:rRNA from 1 species